rnacentral:rRNA from 1 species
AGUAAAUAGAUACCCAGGUAGUCCACACCGUAAACGAUGUCGACUUGGAGGUUGUGCCCUUGAGGCGUGGCUUCCGGAGCUAAACGCGUUAAGUCGACCGCCUGGGGAGUACGGCCGCAAGGUUAAAACUCAAAUGAAUUGACGGGGGCCCGCACAAGCGGUGGAGCAUGUGGUUUAAUUCGAUGCAACGCGAAGAACCUUACCUACUCUUGACAUCCAGAGAACUUAGCAGAGAUGCUUUGGUGCCUUCGGGAACUCUGAGACAGGUGCUGCAUGGCUGUCGUCAGCUCGUGUUGUGAAAUGUUGGGUUAAGUCCCGCAACGAGCGCAACCCUUAUCCUUUGUUGCCAGCGGUUAGGCCGGGAACUCAAAGGAGACUGCCAGUGAUAAACUGGAGGAAGGUGGGGAUGACGUCAAGUCAUCAUGGCCCUUACGAGUAGGGCUACACACGUGCUACAAUGGCGCAUACAAAGAGAAGCGACCUCGCGAGAGCAAGCGGACC